AUCAACUUUCGAUGGUAGGAUAGAGGCCUACCAUGGUGGUAACGGGUAACGGGGUGUUAGGGCACGACACCGGAGAGGGAGCCUGAGAAACGGCUACCACAUCCAAGGAUGGCAGCAGGCGCGCAAAUUACCCAAUCCCGACACGGGGAGGUAGUGACAAUAAAUAACAAUACGGGGUUCUUUAGGAUCUCGUAAUUGGAAUGAGUACAAUUUAAAUCUCUUAACGAGGAACAAUUGGAGGGCAAGUCUGGUGCCAGCAGCCGCGGUAAUUCCAGCUCCAAUAGCGUAUAUUAAAGUUGUUGCAGUUAAAAAGCUCGUAGUUGAAUUUCGGGGUUAGUAGGUUGGUCAUGCCUCUGGUAUGUACUGGUCUCACUGAUUCCUCCUUCCUGAUGAACCGUAAUGCCAUUAAUUUGGUGUUGCGGGGAAUUUGGACUGUUACUUUGAAAAAAUUAGAGUGUUUAAAGCAAGCUAACGCUUGAAUACAUUAGCAUGGAAUAAUGAAAUAGGACGUUCGAUCCUAUUUUGUUGGUUUCUAGGAUUGACGUAAUGAUUAAUAGGGAUAGUUGGGGGCAUUAGUAUUCAAUUGUCAGAGGUGAAAUUCUUGGAUUUAUUGAAGACUAACUACUGCGAAGGCAUUUGCCAAGGAUGUUUUCAUUAAUCAAGAACGAAAGUUAGGGGAUCGAAGGCGAUCAGAUACCGUCGUAGUCUUAACCAUAAACUAUGCCGACUAGGGAUCGGAUGAUGUUAAUUUUUUAAUGACUCAUUCGGCGCCUUACGGGAAACCAAAGUGUUUGGGUUC
rnacentral:rRNA from 1 species